rnacentral:rRNA from 1 species
UUAAGCGACUAAGCGUACACGGUGGAUGCCCCGGCAGUCAGAGGCGAUGAAGGACGUGCUAAUCUGCGAUAAGCGUCGGUGAGGUGAUAUGAACCGUUAUAACCGGCGAUUUCCGAAUGGGGAAACCCAGUGUGUUUCGACACACUAUCAUUAACUGAAUCCAUAGGUUAAUGAGGCGAACCGGGGAACUGAAACAUCUAAGUACCCUGAGGAAAAGAAAUCAACCGAGAUUCCCCAGUAGCGGCGAGCGAACGGGGAGGAGCCCAGAGCCUGAAUCAGUGUGUGUGUUAGUGGAAGCGUCUGGAAAGGCGCGCGAUACAGGGUGACAGCCCUGUACACAAAAAUGCACAUAUUGUGAGCUCGAUGAGUAGGGCGGGACACGUGGUAUCCUGUCUGAAUAUGGGGGGACCAUCCUCCAAGGCUAAAUACUCCUGACUGACCGAUAGUGAACCAGUACCGUGAGGGAAAGGCGAAAAGAACCCCGGCGAGGGGAGUGAAAAAGAACCUGAAACCGUGUACGUACAAGCAGUGGGAGCCUCUUAAUGGGGUGACUGCGUACCUUUUGUAUAAUGGGUCAGCGACUUAUAUUCUGUAGCAAGGUUAACCGAAUAGGGGAGCCGAAGGGAAACCGAGUCUUAACUGGGCGUUAAGUUGCAGGGUAUAGACCCGAAACCCGGUGAUCUCAGCCAUGGGCAGGUUGAAGGUUGGGUAACACUAACUGGAGGACCGAACCGACUAAUGUUGAAAAAUUAGCGGAUGACUUGUGGCUGGGGUGAAAGGCCAAUCAAACCGGGAGAUAGCUGGUUCUCCCCGAAAGCUAUUUAGGUAGCGCCUCGUGAAUUCAUCUCCGGGGGUAGAGCACUGUUUCGGCAAGGGGGUCAUCCCGACUUACCAACCCGAUGCAAACUGCGAAUACCGGAGAAUGUUAUCACGGGAGACACACGGCGGGUGCUAACGUCCGUCGUGAAGAGGGAAACAACCCAGACCGCCAGCUAAGGUCCCAAAGUCAUGGUUAAGUGGGAAACGAUGUGGGAAGGCCCAGACAGCCAGGAUGUUGGCUUAGAAGCAGCCAUCAUUUAAAGAAAGCGUAAUAGCUCACUGGUCGAGUCGGCCUGCGCGGAAGAUGUAACGGGGCUAAACCAUGCACCGAAGCUGCGGCAGCGACACUAUGUGUUGUUGGGUAGGGGAGCGUUCUGUAAGCCUGUGAAGGUGUACUGUGAGGUAUGCUGGAGGUAUCAGAAGUGCGAAUGCUGACAUAAGUAACGAUAAAGCGGGUGAAAAGCCCGCUCGCCGGAAGACCAAGGGUUCCUGUCCAACGUUAAUCGGGGCAGGGUGAGUCGACCCCUAAGGCGAGGCCGAAAGGCGUAGUCGAUGGGAAACAGGUUAAUAUUCCUGUACUUGGUGUUACUGCGAAGGGGGGGACGGAGAAGGCUAUGUUGGCCGGGCGACGGUUGUCCCGGUUUAAGCGUGUAGGCUGGUUUUCCAGGCAAAUCCGGAAAAUCAAGGCUGAGGCGUGAUGACGAGGCACUACGGUGCUGAAGCGACAAAUGCCCUGCUUCCAGGAAAAGCCUCUAAGCAUCAGGUAACAUCAAAUCGUACCCCAAACCGACACAGGUGGUCAGGUAGAGAAUACCAAGGCGCUUGAGAGAACUCGGGUGAAGGAACUAGGCAAAAUGGUGCCGUAACUUCGGGAGAAGGCACGCUGAUAUGUAGGUGAAGCGACUUGCUCGUGGAGCUGAAAUCAGUCGAAGAUACCAGCUGGCUGCAACUGUUUAUUAAAAACACAGCACUGUGCAAACACGAAAGUGGACGUAUACGGUGUGACGCCUGCCCGGUGCCGGAAGGUUAAUUGAUGGGGUUAGCGGUAACGCGAAGCUCUUGAUCGAAGCCCCGGUAAACGGCGGCCGUAACUAUAACGGUCCUAAGGUAGCGAAAUUCCUUGUCGGGUAAGUUCCGACCUGCACGAAUGGCGUAAUGAUGGCCAGGCUGUCUCCACCCGAGACUCAGUGAAAUUGAACUCGCUGUGAAGAUGCAGUGUACCCGCGGCAAGACGGAAAGACCCCGUGAACCUUUACUAUAGCUUGACACUGAACAUUGAGCCUUGAUGUGUAGGAUAGGUGGGAGGCUUUGAAGUGUGGACGCCAGUCUGCAUGGAGCCGACCUUGAAAUACCACCCUUUAAUGUUUGAUGUUCUAACGUGGGCCCCUUACCGGGGUUGCGGACAGUGUCUGGUGGGUAGUUUGACUGGGGCGGUCUCCUCCUAAAGAGUAACGGAGGAGCACGAAGGUUGGCUAAUCCUGGUCGGACAUCAGGAGGUUAGUGCAAUGGCAUAAGCCAGCUUGACUGCGAGCGUGACGGCGCGAGCAGGUGCGAAAGCAGGUCAUAGUGAUCCGGUGGUUCUGAAUGGAAGGGCCAUCGCUCAACGGAUAAAAGGUACUCCGGGGAUAACAGGCUGAUACCGCCCAAGAGUUCAUAUCGACGGCGGUGUUUGGCACCUCGAUGUCGGCUCAUCACAUCCUGGGGCUGAAGUAGGUCCCAAGGGUAUGGCUGUUCGCCAUUUAAAGUGGUACGCGAGCUGGGUUUAGAACGUCGUGAGACAGUUCGGUCCCUAUCUGCCGUGGGCGCUGGAGAACUGAGGGGGGCUGCUCCUAGUACGAGAGGACCGGAGUGGACGCAUCACUGGUGUUCGGGUUGUCAUGCCAAUGGCACUGCCCGGUAGCUAAAUGCGGAAGAGAUAAGUGCUGAAAGCAUCUAAGCACGAAACUUGCCCCGAGAUGAGUUCUCCCUGACUCCUUGAGAGUCCUGAAGGAACGUUGAAGACGACGACGUUGAUAGGCCGGGUGUGUAAGCGCAGCGAUGCGUUGAGCUAACCGGUACUAAUGAACCGUGAGGCUUAACCU